GCGAGGCCAGGCUCAUUUUCUGGGUUGCCAAGAGGACUUCCGGACCUCGCUCACGUGGACUUCUGGGGACACCGUCCAUCGGUGGCAAUACAAAGUGUGCCCGCUUGGCUUAGCACAGAGCCGCAGAGUCCUGACGGAUGCUUCCCUGUUAAGAUCGGGCUCACCGCAGACUUGUCACCCGGAUGGGCAGAGGUCCACGUGACUGUGGGGCCAGGCCCCUGAAGGAAGUAGCACGGAGCUGGCAGAUGGCCCAGCCACCGUGUCUACAACCAGUCGUCCCCACGGAUCACACACAAAAACAUUGAGGUGGGUCUGACAUUUGGCGCCGACACAAAGGAGCACAGGUGGCAGUUUCCUGAGAGUCCAUCUGCAUCACAAGGCAACCUCGGCCUGCCACAGACAGCUUUCUCCGAGCUUCUUCUGGCCUUCACUAGCCCCAGAAGCCCCGUCCUUAAACCCGCCUGCCAGUUCUUCACCAGAUCUCUGGAAACUCUGGAUAGUGGUCCAAAAAGAAAUACAGCUGCUUUUAUUUCUUUC